GGUCUUAUUUGAGUAACCGGAGAAAUUAUGAAAUUUACUAGUGAAAAUAGGCAUGUAGGAUAGGUAGAAAGCAUGUAUCGAGGUGGUUUAACACAUUAUAGAGAGGGAAUAAUUUCAUUAGUAACAUGGGAUAUGAUAGGUGCUAUUAUGUAGCACGUGUUUUUGGAUGACCUUGGAAGCUUACUCGGUGGAACAAGUAUCCGUUUUCAUGCCAAGAGUGAAAAAUAGAGUAUGCCUUACAUACCUGGUUAAAAUCCAAUACCAUCCCAACUCAACUUCCCGCACUUUUAGAAUACUUAUCUACAAUGAAAUAUAUGGCAAACUAAUAUUAGCAACCAAACGUCACAUUUUGGCUAUUUAACUUUACCAAACUAGUGGCCGGGAAGUAAGCCCUUAAUUUAUCAACAAAGGGUGUCACUUUAACCUUCUUAUACUCCAAUUACAGCCACAUACCAUACAUAUUCAUAUAAUAGCCCCUGACACAGCCUCGGCUUCAUUUCACCUUCCAAUCAAC
rnacentral:lncRNA from 1 species